UCGGGAAUUUUGGGCAAUGGGCGAAAGCCUGACCCAGCAACGCCGCGUGAAGGAUGAAGUAUUUCGGUAUGUAAACUUCGAAAGAAUAGGAAGAAUAAAUGACGGUACUAUGUAUAAGGUCCGGCUAACUACGUGCCAGCAGCCGCGGUAAUACGUAGGGACCAAGCGUUGUUCGGAUUUACUGGGCGUAAAGGGCGCGUAGGCGGCAAUUCAAGUCAUCUGUGAAAUCUCCGGGCUUAACUCGGAACGGUCAGAUGAUACUGCUUUGCUAGAGUGCAGAAGGGGCAAUCGGAAUUCUUGGUGUAGCGGUGAAAUGCGUAGAUAUCAAGAGGAACACCUGAGGUGAAGACGGGUUGCUGGGCUGACACUGACGCUGAGGCGCGAAAGCCAGGGGAGCAAACGGGAUUAGAUACCCCGGUAGUCCCUGAGCGGGCUGGCAAGGCGCAU
rnacentral:rRNA from 1 species